GUCGGCUACGGAGAUGUUGUUCCAGUGACUGUGGCUGGCAAGCUGGCUGCUUCCGGCUGCAUUCUGGGCGGGAUUUUGGUCGUGGCGUUGCCCAUCACCAUCAUCUUCAACAAG